CUAAGACCAUUCGUCCUCGAAUGUUCCUAAACAAAUAAUCACAUAAAAAGGAGGAAACUCACCUCAAAACAGAUAUGGAUACUGCUGGAGCAUCGACUCCCGCGUCUCCCAGGUGCACUCUUCUAAAUUGUGGUGGUUCCACAGAACUUUCACCAUCGGAAUUUCCUUGUUCCUUAGCUGCCUGAUCUGCGUGUCUAGAAUCCGUACUGGCUGCUCUACAUAGGUGAGAUCUCUAAG
rnacentral:lncRNA from 1 species